rnacentral:tRNA from 1 species
GCCUGGGUGGCUCAGUCGGUUGAGCGUCUGACUUCGGCUCAGGUCAUGAUCUCAGUUUCUGGGUUCGAGCCCCGUAUCAGGCU